GAUGAACGCUGGCGGCGUGCCUAAUACAUGCAACUCGAGCGAACAGAUGAGGAGCUUGCUCCUCUGACGUUAGCGGCGGACGGGUGAGUAACACGUGGAUAACCUACCUAUAAGACUGGGAUAACUUCGGGAAACCGGAGCUAAUACCGGAUAAUAUAUUGAACCGCAUGGUUCAAUAGUGAAAGACGGUUUUGCUGUCACUUAUAGAUGGAUCCGCGCCGCAUUAGCUAGUUGGUAAGGUAACGGCUUACCAAGGCAACGAUGCGUAGCCGACCUGAGAGGGUGAUCGGCCACACUGGAACUGAGACACGGUCCAGACUCCUACGGGAGGCAGCAGUAGGGAAUCUUCCGCAAUGGGCGAAAGCCUGACGGAGCAACGCCGCGUGAGUGAUGAAGGUCUUCGGAUCGUAAAACUCUGUUAUUAGGGAAGAACAAAUGUGUAAGUAACUAUGCACGUCUUGACGGUACCUAAUCAGAAAGCCACGGCUAACUACGUG
rnacentral:rRNA from 1 species